rnacentral:rRNA from 1 species
UGCCAUGUAGAUGAUGAUCGGGAGUCAGACUGCACGAGAUAAGUUGGGCAGUCAAAAGGGAAAGAGCCCAGACCACCGGCUAAGGUCCCAAAGUGCGUGUUAAGUGGAAAAGGAUGUGGGAAUUCGAAGACAACUAGGAUGUUGGCUCAGAAGCAGCCAUACAUUCAAAGAGUGCGUAACAGCUCACUAGUCGAGAGUUCCUGCGCCGAAAAUGUCCGGGGCUGAAACACGACACCGAAGCCGUGGACUCGCAAUGCGAGUGGUAGAGGAGCAUUCUUAAGACCGACGAAGCUGUACCGGAAGGAGCAGUGGAGGGAUAAGAAGAGAGAAUGCCGGAAUGAGUAGCGAGAGAAAGGUGGGAAUCCUUUCGGCUGAAUAUCUAAGCUUUCCAGAGUAAAGCUGAUCUGCUCUGGGUAAGUCGGGGCCUAAGCACAGGUCGCAAGACGUAAGCGAUGGAUAACAGGUUUAGAUUCCUGUACCACGCAUUAUCAGAACUGUAGGGACGCAUGUGGAAAGCACGAGCCGGGAAUGGAAAGACCGGUACAAGCGAGGUAGGUGUACAAUAGGCAAAUCCGUUGUAUGAUCCGAAGACGUGAUGUGGAGCGAAAUAAAGUAGCAAAGCGUGUGAGCCAUGUGCCGAGAAAAGCUGCUAUUGUGUAAUGCGUGCCCGUACCGUAAACCGACACAGGUGGAUGAGGAGAGAAUCCUAAGGCCGACGGAAGAAGCAUUGUUAAGGAAUUCGGCAAAAUGACCCCGUAACUUCGGGAGAAGGGGUGCCUGCGAGAGCAGGCCGCAGAGAAUAGGCUCAAGCAACUGUUUAGCAAAAACACAGGUCUAUGCGAAACCGAAAGGUGAAGUAUAUGGGCUGACGCCUGCCCGGUGCUGGAAGGUUAAGAGGAGAGGUUAGCGUAAGCGAAGCUUUGAAUUUAAGCCCCAGUAAACGGCGGCCGUAACUAUAACGGUCCUAAGGUAGCGAAAUUCCUUGUCGGGUAAGUUCCGACCCGCACGAAAGGCGUAAUGAUUUGAGCACUGUCUCGACAAUGCAUCCGGUGAAAUUGAAGUACCAGUGAAGAUGCUGGUUACCCGCGCCAGGACGGAAAGACCCCAUGGAGCUUUACUCCAGUUUGAUACUGGGAUUCGGUACUGCAUGUACAGGAUAGGUGGGAGACGAAGAAGGAUGGACGCCAGUCUGUCCGGAGUCGCUGUUGGGAUACCACCCCUGUAGUACUGGGUUUCUAACCAGUUGCCAUGAACUGGCAAUGGGACAAUGUCAGGCGGGGAGUUUGACUGGGGCGGUCGCCUCCGAAAGGGUAUCGGAGGCGCUCAAAGGUUCCCUCAGAAUGGUUGGAAACCAUUUGAAGAGUGCAAAGGCAGAAGGGAGCUUGACUGCGACACCGACGGGUGGAGCAGGUACGAAAGUAGGACUUAGUGAUCCGGUGGUAUAAAGUGGGAUUGCCAUCGCUCAACGGAUAAAAGCUACCCUGGGGAUAACAGGCUUAUCACUCCCAAGAGUUCACAUCGACGGAGUGGUUUGGCACCUCGAUGUCGGCUCAUCGCAUCCUGGGGCUGUAGCAGGUCCCAAGGGUUGGGCUGUUCGCCCAUUAAAGCGGUACGCGAGCUGGGUUCAGAACGUCGUGAGACAGUUCGGUCCCUAUCCGGCGCGGGCGGAGGAUAUUUGAGAGGAGCUGUCCUUAGUACGAGAGGACCGGGAUGGACGGACCACUGGUGUAUCUGUUGUCGACCAACGGCAUGGCAGAGUAGCCAAGUCUGGAAGGGAUAAACGCUGAAGGCAUCUAAGCGUGAAGCCCCCCUCAAGAUGAGAUAUCCCUCCUUCGGGAGUAAGACCCCUUGAAGACUACAAGGUAGAUAGGGCAGAGGUGGAAGCAUGGCAACAUGUGGAGCUGACUGUUACUAAUAGGUCGAGGGCUUAAUCU